UCUGGAGGGCAGCCUGUAGAGGGAGACAGGUUGUAAUACUUCAGUAGUACUCUGGAGGGCAGCCUGUAGAGGGAGACAGGUUGUAAUACUUCAGUAGUACUCUGGAGGGCAGCCCGAAGAGGGAGACAGGUUGUAAUACUUCAGUAGUACUCUGGAGGGCAGCCCGAAGAGGGAGACAGGUUGUAAUACUUCAGUAGUACUCUGGAGGGCAGCCCGAAGAGGGAGACAGGUUGUAAUACUUCAGUAGUACUCUGGAGGGCAGCCCGAAGAGGGAGACAGGUUGUAAUACUUCAGUAGUACUCUGGAGGGCAGCCCGAAGAGGGAGACAGGUUGUAAUACUUCAGUAGUACUCUGGAGGGCAGCCCGAAGAGGGAGACAGGCUGUAAUAUUUCAGUAGUUUGCACUUAAUUACAAUGUUCUUGCCCUUUUAUUCCUGCAAUGUAAAGUGCUACCAAAGUUACGAUAUUAACUCUUGUUGUGUUAAAAAUAUAUAUUUUUAGUGACAUAGCCUAUGUAACUUAAAUGUCAGAGUUGGUUUAAUUUACGUGUCUUGC